rnacentral:lncRNA from 1 species
UCUUCUCUCUGCUACAGAUUUCUAACUUAACAGGAAAGGCAGUUUUCCUCAAAAAGGGCAAAGAACAGCGGGAACAGUAGAGGGCACCUUCAACCCCAGCAUGGAAUUGACGUUCCUGCUUCAAAAUGAACCAUCACAGCAAUCUUGGCUUUUUGAUUUGGACCCUCAUUUCUCUUAUAAUUUGAACUUAUAUUGGAGAGAAGGGGCCUGUCUCUUAAGCCAGCUAGUUUUUGUACUGGAUAUUUAUAUAUCAUUUCAUUUGUUCCUUAGUGUUUUUUCAUUUCUAUUAUGAUUUGUUCUGUGGGAUGUGACUUACCGGUGUGUUUUUCACGUUUAUAAAGCUGAAUACUUCUGUAUGUCAGCUUAGCACCCCUAGCAUCAGCCAUGCUACUCUCCUGCUGUGCAUAGAUGGGGGCCUGUCCCCCUGCUGAAUCUCCUGGGUUCCUGCUGUCAACACCUGAAGGUACCCACCAGAUGUGUCUGUCACUUCCCUCCAUCCACCUCUCUUGUGUUUCUCAUGUUUCUGCCUCCCUAGAGACCAUUUCUCUCUAGAGCAGUGCUUUCCAAUAGAAAUACAAUGCCAGACACAUACGUCAUUUUAGAUUUUCUAGUAGUCACUUUAGAAAAGUUAAAAAGAGGCUGGGCAUGGUAGCUCACACCUGUAAUCCCAGCACUUUGGGAGGCUGAGGUGGGCAGAUUAGCUGAGGUCAGGAGUUCGAGACCAGCCUGGCCAACAUGGUGAAACCCCGUCACUACUAAAAAUACAAAAAUUAGCCGGGUAUGGUAGCAGGUGCCUGGGAUUACAGCCUCCCGAGUAGGCUGAGACAUGAGAAUCACUUGAUUCUGGGAGGUGGAGGCUGCAGUGAGCCGAGGUCAUGUGCACCACUGCAAUCCAACCUUGGCAACAGAGCAAGACUUUGUCUCACACAAAAAAAAGAAAAGAAAGAAAAGUUAAAAGGGAGCAGGUGAAAUUAAUAAUGUGUUUUAUUUCACCUAAAAUGUUAGUAUUAUCCAGAAUAUCACUUCAACGUCUUAUCAAAAUAAAAAUUAUUAAUGAGAUAGUUUGCAUUCUUCCUCUUUUUUGAGAUGGGCUCUUGCUUUUUUUUUGGCCCAGGCUGGAAUGCAGUGGCACCAGCAUAGCUCACUGCAGCCUCAAACUCCUGGGCUCGAGAUCCUCCUGCCUCAGCCUUCCUAGUAGUUAGGACUACAGGCACACACCACCAUGCCCAGCUAAUUGUUUUUCUUUUUUGUUUGUUUGUUUUUCUUUUUUUUCUUUUUUCUUUUUUUUUUUUUUUUGAGAGGAAAUCUCACUCUGUCACCCAGGGUGGAGUGCAAUGGCAUGAUCUCAGCUCAUUGCAACCUCCGCCUCCCAGGUUUAAGUGAUUUUCCUGUCUCAGCCUCCCAAGUAGCUGGGACUACAGGCGUGCACCACCAUGCCUAGCUAAUUUUUUUGUAUUUUUAGUAGAGACAGGGUUUCACUAUGUUGGCCAGGCUGGUCUUGAACUCCUGACCUCAGCUGAUCCACCCACCUCGGCCUCCCAAAGUGCUGGGAUUACAGGUGUGAGCCACUGCGCCAAGCCUUUUUUUUUUGAGAUAGGGUGAUAGGGUCUCACUCUGUCACCCAGGCUGCAGUGGUAUGAUCUUGGCUCACUGCAACCUCUGCCUUCCAGGUUCCAGUGAUUUUUCCCACCUCAGCUUCCCUAUUAGCUGGGACUACAGGUACACGCCACCACACCUGGCCAAUUUUUUGUAUUUUUUGUAUACAUAGGGUUUCACCAUGUUGGCCAGGCUGGUCUCGAACUCCUGACGUCAAGUGAUCCAUCUGGCUUGGCCUCCCAAAGUGCUGGGAUUACAGGCGCGAGUCACCGCACUUGGCCUUAGCAAUCUUUCAAGUGCUCAGCAGCCACAUGUGGCAGUGGCUGCCUUAUUGGACAGCGCAGCUCUGAACGGUGAUUUUAUGUACAUCCCCACUGCUCUCUCUGCCUCCUUUAUUCCCAUCUACCCCACACCCCUGAUGUCUAUUGGAGGGAGUCUACUGGGAGUGUGGAGGCUUUCCUGUCCCUAGCAUGGAUGACAUCAGCAGGUGGUGAUGAAAGUGAUUAAACAGCAUUCUCAUCACAAAAAAAAGUCAAGUAUUUGAGGUAAUGGGUUGGUUAAUUUGAUUUCAUCAUUCCACAUCGUAAUGAAAAGUCAUACCAUCAUUUUAUACCCCAUAAAUAUAUAUAAUUUAGAAGAUAGAUAAAAAUCAGCCAAAACAAUUCUUUGAAAUAUUUUUAAGCAAACAUGUACAAUUUAUGGGGUACAAUAUCAUUUGUUAGUAUAUAUAAUUUUUUUUUAUGGGGAGUCAGUUAACACAGGAAACAGCCCCUUGAAAGGGAGAUACCCCCACACCCCUGGAGUAGCCCCUGGAGGACUAUCGCCUCCCUCUCUCCUCUCUUUCUGUCUCAUAUUCCUUUAAUUUGGAGAAUCAUUUCCAAUUCCUUAACAUUCUGGCCUGAUUUUUUUCUGUCUUACAUUCAAAGGUCACAGUUUUCCUCUCACCCUCAUUUCAGUCUUUUCCCAUAAGAUGUGACAUGCCUUUUUGUCUUGGUUGGGCAUUUAUUUGCAAUACAAGAAUGAUUGUUUUCUUUGAUACAUUAAUGACUUAGAUACUUUUCCUAGUAAAAUGUAUCUUAACAGAAUUCCAAAUUAAUUCUAGACAGCAUAUUUUUAAAGGUGUGUAUAGAGCUCCUUAUGUUUCUUCCUUGAUUUUUAAAAUGACAUAUUUAGGUCUAUAUAUUUUAGGAUAUAAGAUCUCUAUGUGUUGCUUUGCUUCAUUGAACAUUUUUGGUGAUUAUUUUUAUUUUCUGUGUAUUUUAGGAUUUCCAUUAAACUAUAUUCUCAUUUCAAAUUUCUAUCUGAGUGAUAGAAUUAUUUUAAUGUAGGAAAGGUUCAUCAAAAAUGGGUGUAGUGAUUGUGUUCUUUCCUAUGCUCGAAUGGAAAAUGAUGAGGGGACAUGAUGUUAGAGUUGCAGUGAGAAGGGGUGGAAAAGAGGGAUUCCAGAGUGCCAGGCACACAGGUUUUCUGGAAGGUUUACAUGAGGACUGCUGUGGUUUGAAUGUGUUCCCCGAAGUUCAUGUGUUGGAAACUCAACCCCUAAUGCAACAGUGUUGACCAGUGGAACCUUUAAGAGGUGAUUAGGUCAUGAAGGCUCUGCCCUCAUGAAUGGAUGAAGCUAGAGUGGGUUAGUUAUCUUGGGAGGGGGUUCCUGAUAAAAGGAUGAGGUUGGCUUCCUUCCCUUUCUCUUUCCCCCUCCCCCCUUCACAUGUGGUCACUCUCUUGCCCUUCCACCUUCCACCAUAGGACGGCACAGUGAGACCUUCACCAGAUGCAGGCCCCUCACUUUCCCAGUGUUCAGAACCGUAAACCAAGUGAACUCUUGCUUAUAAAUCACCCAGUCUGUGGUAUUCUGUUAUAGCAACACAAACGGACUAAGAGAGGGACACUCAGUGGGCUCUUCUCUCUACUUGAUGGAGCACUCCCUGCGUGGUGCCUUGUAUUUGUAGACAUGAUGCUGUAAAUGUUUUUUGAAUGUCUUGAAGGCUUUUGUUUGAGGAGUUUACAGAGAAGCCCCUACAGGCUUCAGGUCCCUUCUUCUGUUGCUUCUUUGCUCCUUAGUUCCUCCCCUAACCUGGUGCUAAAUUAGAUCAUAGUGUGGUCCUUGGACCAACAGUAUCAAUAGCACCUGAAAGUCAUGCUGGAAAUACAGAUUCACAGGCUGCUCCCCAGAAUACUGAAGAAGAAACUCUAGGAGUGAGACCCAACAAUCUGUGUUUAACAAGUCCCCAGGCCCCUGGAUCCUCCUGGAAUCCCUGAUCCCUGUUGCUCCCUGGCGGAGUUUUCUAGUCCCUCUUACUUGAAGCAUGUCUUUCAGAGCCCGGCACCACCCAAGUUGGGUAUCUGAUACCCCAUCAGCCUGAGUCUCUUAAAGGCCUUUAUACACAUAUGUCUACACAUAGGGAUUUGGAUGAUCUCGGGAUCCCACAUCCUCGCUGUCCCCUGUCCCCCCACAACAUCCCACACCAAUACCUUUCUGAAGUUUUCUAGUCCCUCCUUUUUGUUUGUGGUCCUUAAAGCCCAGCCCCAUGCCUGACUUUGGUUCCCAGUGAGCAUUGUACAUUUGUGGAUAUUAAAUCUUUGGCAAAGUCAUUUACCUGGGCUGGAAUAGGGCUCUUGGCUGAUUCUUUUUCCUAAACACCCACCCAAUGGGAGAGGCUGAUACUCAACAUGCAAACCUUGUGUUUUAUUUCUCCAGGCGAAGGGAUGUUGGAAGACAUUCUGGAAGGGGUGGGGUGUGAAGAUUUACAAAUAAUCUUUGAAUAUCUGCUUCAUGAUAGGUCUUGGAGGUGCCUUGUGGGUGUGGCUUUGGGGGGAUGGUUACGAGGAAAUUGUGGAUAUUAAGGAAGUCAGGAAAGGAAAAGAUCAGUCACAAUUCAACAAUUCAGAGAAAGCUCCUAAGGGACUUUCUGGCUGCUUGAUGCCCAGAGGCCAGGCCCUCACUUCGUAUUAAGGCUCAGGACUGUGGAUAGAGAAUUUAAAGGGGCACCAAAAAAACAUUAAAAUAGAUAAACAUAUUUUUAAUGGAAUACCUUUAAAAAUGCAAAUCAAUGCACAAAGAAAACGCCCA